CCUACGGGGGGCAGCAGUGGGGGAUAUUGCACAAUGGGGGAAACCCUGAUGCAGCGACGCCGCGUGUGGGAAGACGGUCCUCUGGAUUGUAAACCACUGUCCCCAGGGACGAAGAUGACGGGACCUGGGGCGGAAGCUCCGGCUAACUACGUGCCAGCAGCCGCGGUAAUACGUAGGGAGCGAGCGUUGUCCGGAAUUACUGGGUGUAAGGGGAGCGUAGGCGGGACUGCAAGUUGGGUGUCAAAUCUACCGUCGCAACCGGUAGCCGCACUUAAAAUUGCAGUGCUUGAGUGAAUUAGAGGCAGGCGGAAUUCCUAGUGUAGCGGUGAAAUGCGUAGAUAUUAGGAGGAACACCAGUGGCGAAGGCGGCCUGCUGGGCUUUUACUGACGCUGAGGCUCGAAAGUGUGGGGAUCAAACAGGAUUAGAUACCCCGGUAGUC
rnacentral:rRNA from 1 species